GCUGGGCAUGGUGGUGCGUGCCUGUAAUCCCAGCUACUCGGGAGGCUGAGGCAGGAGAAUCGCUUGAACCCGGGAGGCAGAGGUUGCAGUGAGCCGAGAUCGUGCCACUGCACUCCAGCCUGGGUGACAGAGCAAGACUCCGUCUCAA
rnacentral:SRP_RNA from 2 species